CAAAAGGAACUUUUGAAGCCAGAAUUGUGUGUUCAAUCACACAAUAGCAACUAGCAAAUGGACUCAGGACAAUAUACAUAAGAAUGUACUUAAAACUGUACUCACAUGCCCUGGAUCUGAGGGGCAUCCAUGGGCAUAUGUAGGAGAAGCAGUCAAAGAAAUCACCUCAGUCAGCCAUGCAAAGAGGCAGAGAAAAAUACACAUACAAUUCUGUCACCCCCGUUCACAACCAAGUGCCAUAGCAAAGCCACCUCUUUGGAUGGGUUUUUUUCAUGGCUUCUCAGAAGAAUGUACCAAAUACAAGCUGGAUUUGUUUGAAGCAUCUCCAACACAGACCAGCACUGAGAAAACCCGAUUUGUUGAGAUGCCUCCACUUUCCACUAUAUUAAUCUCUGUACUUCUGGGAAUGGUGAAGAAGCUGGGAAUGGAGGAUGGUCAGACCCGUGGCCUGGGGAAAGGAAUUUGCUGCCACCACCAUAACCCAGCUGGGACCUGCUUUUCUUCUGCUGCUGGGCACCCACACCCCCUGUCCUGCCACGACGUCCUGCAGUUCCAGCUACUGCUACGGAGCUUCUGAUACAUCUCGACUACCACCAAAAUGGUGGGAUUUUUUGCUCAUUCCUGCUGUUCUAUCUUGGUGCUUCUAAGAGUCCUGCUGGGGCACUGGGACCAACUGCUACAGGGUUUGUGGAGUAAAGCCUCUCUUCCAUCCCUUCUCAUCUGGGACAAAGCCACCAUGCCGGAACACCCUCUGCAGCCGCGUGGGGGUCACCGCACCUGCCCUGCCCAGCAGUAGCCUGCCAGCGCCCCUGCCGGCUGUGCCCAGAACUGCACCAAGGGGGAAAGUGCCGGCAGCCAAAAAGGCUGGGUUUUCUGGUUCUGUUGGUUGUUAAUGCUGUAGUUGUUGUUGUUUGUUUGCUUUAUUAUGCACACUAGUAAAGUACUGUUAUUCCUGUUCUCAUAUAUCUUUUCCUGAGAGUCCCUUAAUUUCAAAAUUAUAAUAAUUCAGAGGGAGGGGGUUCACAUUCUCCAUUCUAAGGGAGGCUCCCACCUUCCUUAGCAGACACCUGUCUUUCAAACCAAGACAGGUACAGAAUCUGAAAAACAGGAAAGCUAAAACUUGAGGCAUCAAGGGGUUUAGGCAAUGCUUGGUUCUGACAGCCCACAAUGGGAGAACUGAACUAUUGGGACCCCUCUGGGGCCAGACAUGCAUAAUAACCAGCAGCUUUUUCUUCCUUUCCCCUUUGCAGUGAUACUAAUUCUGCAGAUUCUGUGACUAUUGGGACUAGCUUCUUAACAUUCUUUACGGUAAAAUACUGCCUCUAUUGUUUCGUGAUCCCAGGCUUAAGUGGUACAGGAUUAAGUGGUACACAGGUAUGUGUCCUUUUCUCAUUAUUUCUGCUGCUAUAAAAAUCUCAUCUUUAAACAUGUUCUUGUAACCUUUCUCAAGUUGCUCUUUUGUCCUAGACUCCCUUUUCAAGAAGGGAUACAAAUUCUCUAAUUUCAAAUAUGCUCUCGUGUAUAGUUCUCCAAACUCUUGCACAAUUUAAAGUGUUCGCAGGCACAAGUCCAGAUCUGACAGUUCUGCAGAAGUUACACGUAUAAAGCUUUAUAAAGUCUGACCACAUAUCAGUGUGUGCUGUAAAAUACCUCCAUGUCUGGGUUUGGAGCAUUCUGUUAAAAUUAUCCAUGACAGAAUUUUUAUUUCAUUAUUAGGAAGAAAAUGGUGAGCACUACACUGUUUUAAAAAUUUGUUUAAAGUCUGGUUUAAAAAUUCAGUUCCACAGUCAGUCUGUAAUUUCUGAGGCAUGUGCCCUUGCUAAAUGGCUCCUGGUUUGCCUUUUGCAGCAAUCCAAGCAUGACUGGGCAAGAUGCCUAUUACUGUUAAAAUGUACUAAACACAAUUUUGUGUUUGGAACACUGUUGCACAUCCAGCAAAUCUGCCUGCCAUUGUGUAUCUACCUCUGCCACAAUCACACUCUUUCUUUUAAAGUGCUUUUCUUCAGGUCCUGUAUAAGCUGUUAAACAUAUUGAAUCAAAAACGAUGUUGCUACUUGUCAUUUUGUCAGGAUUUUCCCCACCUUUAUUUCCUGUACUCUUGCCUUCUGCCAAAAAUCAUAAGUCAAGGCAAAAUAAAUUAUCACAUGUAUGCUUACCUGAAACUGCUAAUUUAUUACACCUUGAAAUGUUCACAAGAACUUCAUAGGGUUGUAUCUUUUCUGGAAAUUUUGGUCUGAGUUUCCAGAUUUGUAUUUUGCAUGGCUUAGUAAAGCCUGUAGUUACAAUUCAGACCAACCUUCUGUCUGAUAGCAUGUGUGAUUGGCCAAGAGCUGUCAGCUGUGUGGUUGUAAUUCUCUUGUUGUUACUGUGUUAUUGUUGUCAAAAAACCUUUGGAACUUUAUUGGGAACACACUUUUAGUGUUUUGGUCAAUACUAUGAAAUCAUUAGAUGAUUAUUUUUUCAUAAAUUUUCCUGUCAGUAUAAGUUAAUAUUCAGAUAUAUGAGAUUAAGUGGUGUUGGUUGCUGAUUUACCACCUGAUAACCAGAACACAGACAAAUUUUUCUGAAGAUCAAGGUCUGAUAGAGGCAUUCCCACACUCUAGAAUAGAAAUAACACAGAAUGAAAGACAACUUGUAAAAUAUGAUACAAUUUAUGGGAAACAAACUUUUUUGAAUUCAUGCUUCCUCAACACCUCCUGAUUAUUUUUCCUAGGCACUCCCAAGCCACACACUCACAUUUCAGCAGGACGACUACAGGAUAACAUAGGGAAAAAAGACCAGAUUAUAUCUCUUUCCCUUAGCAUAAAUCACAAACACCUAGCCUCCAUGUGAGUAUAUAAAGGGGUUUUUUGUGCAUGUUUACAUAAAUGCAUAAAAUAUAAUUAUCAGCUGGAGUUGGGUAUUGAACAGAAGUCACCCUAGUUUAUUCAUUAUGCAAAAUGUGGUGAGCCUUUAAAAAGUAAUAGGAAGAAUAAUCAUUAUAUUUAGACACACAAAUAAAAUAAAAUAUGACAGAAUGUUGUCUUCUCCAAAAGUAACAAGAAGUACUUUUUAUACAGUUACAUUCAUCAAGGAUAGAACCACUCUGUAAUAUGAACAUUUUAGCUGUAAGUCUUUUACAAUUGCCAAAGAAGAAAAUUUGUACCAGAAAAAUCUUCAUUAAAGUAAGUUAAAGUAUUUUUCCUUUUGUUGCAUAAAUAACCAGAAAAAAAUGAGGGCUUUUACAACAUUCCCUUAACAAUUAAAACAACAUUCUAACUCCUGCAAUGCUUUAUCUUCUCCAUAAACACUACCAAAGACUACCUAUACCUAUUUCCUACUCCUAGACAAGAACAAGCCGCUGACAAUGUCAGAAGAGUCACAUCUGAUGUUAGUUAGCUGACAUUUUAAAAGAAUAAUGCACCACACAAAACCAGAGAAAACAAUUCUAAAUCAGUUACCAAACAUUUCAAUUACAAUAGUGAAAACAUCUACUUGUCUUAAAAAUUUGACAGUUACUAAAGUAUUUCAAUGAGGCAGCAUUGCUUCCAGCUGUAUUUCUUCAACAAUAAGCCUUACAUACAGAUGCUUGCCACUUUUCUUUUUGUUCAUGUACCAAACACGUGCUUCAUACCCAUUAUUUGACAGGUCAUACUAAAUUACAGUAAGUUGUGGAAAUUCACCUGUAUUUAAAAACAAACCCUGAUAGUUUAUGUUUACAGAUAGAACUUACCAAGGUGCUACAGUCUUGGAAGGACUGGUGUGUGCAAAAAGAGGUUAUUAUUGAUAAAACUUUGGUGCACAACUCAUUCGUUUAUUUAUACGUACAUUGCUCCAUAUAGGAGCUAAAUAAAUGCUACCUUAAAAAAAACCAAAAAAACCAAACAAACAAACAAACAAACCCCCCCAAACAAAAACCAACCAAACAAAAACCCCAAACCAAAACAAAAACAAAACCAAGCAGUUCUUGAGUAGGUGACUUUCCAUAGGCUUGUCACAAACUAAAAGUCUUCCAAUUAUGUGCAAAUCUUCUUCUCUUAAGUUUAGUGCCUAAAUCCCUCUGGCAGCUUAAGGCCUAAAUAAUUCAUCUCCAUCUUUUCCAUGGUUUCCAGAAAAAUGAGCGACCUGAGAAAGGAAGAAUCUUUACAUACCCUUUCCAACUGCAAUUAAUAUUUUCAAAAUCUAAAGAAGUGGCUUGCAAGUUGAAAAGCUACUAUAUUAGAAGGUUAGUGUUGAAUUAUUUUGGCAACUGAGUAACUUUCACUGAAAUCAGGGGCAUCUCAAUAAUAAUUUUACAAAGAGUCAGAGAAAGGAAGUAUAUACAAUAAUUUUGUCUUCAAAUUAAAAAGCAAAAUCCUAAAAUCAGUGAGCACUUUGAAU